CCUAUGGCUACAGCCAUUGCAGGUGUGGCUGCUGUGUCACAUGUGUGUCAGUAGGUGGCAAAGAGGGGAGAGGCUCUGUCUAAGCUCAGUGUUCUGACCUGUGAACAUCUGGAUGAUUAGAAGCCUAACAUU